AUGGGUGCGUCCGUAUGGUUCUUCUUCUCGCUGGCAUCGCUCGGUGCCCUCCAUGUAUUCGCCGUCAGUGUCCGCCUCCUCGCCAGCCUCGCGCCCUGCCUGCGCCGGCCCAAGGAUCUCCGGCGCAGGUACGGCGAGUGGGCCGUCGUCACCGGCCCGACGUCAGGCAUCGGACGCUCCAUGUCCCUGGAGCUCGCGCGGCGUGGCCUCAACCUCGUCCUCGUCGGCCGUGACCCCGCCAAGCUCCGGGACGUCUCCGAGACCAUCUCCAGGGCUCACGCCGUGCAGACCAAGACCGUGCUGUUCGAUUUCUCCCUCGUCUCCACCGCGCAAGGGGACGAGGCGAUGCGGCGGCUCCGGGAGGCCGUGGCGGGGCUGGACGUAGGGGUGCUGGUGAACAACGCCGGGGUGGCGAAGCCGGGCGCGGUGUACAUGCACGAGGUGGGCGUGGAGGCGUGGGCGAGGAUGAUACGGGUGAACGUGCUGGCGCUGACGGAGGUGACGGCGGCGGUGCUGCCGGGGAUGGUGCGGCGGGGCAGGGGCGCCGUCGUGAACAUGGGCUCGGGGUCGGCGUCCGUGCUCCCCUCCUUCCCGCUCUACUCCGUCUACGCCGGCACCAAACGGUACGUCGCCGAGUUCUCCAGGAGCCUCGCCGUGGAGUACGGGAACUCAGGCAUCGACGUGCAGUGCCAGGCCCCGUUCCUGGUGGAGACGAACAUGGUGUCGAGCGCCGUGAAGGCCAGCUUAAUCUCGCAGUUCGUGCUGACCCCGGACGGCUACGCGCGCGCGGCGGUGCGCUGGAUCGGGCACGGCACGCUCUGCGUGCCCAACGUCGCCCACCGAUUGCAGGGGUGGUUCGUCGGCCUCUUCCCGGACUUCGGCACAGACGCGUAUCGCCUGGAGUAUAAUCUGCGGCAGAGGGCCAUCCUUCGGAGGGUCAAGCCGUGGAGGAAAUCGCAGGCGAGCUCUCCUGUUCCUGCCAAGGACGAGGUUGGUGUUGGUGUUCGGUCGGAUUAA
rnacentral:rRNA from 1 species